CGAUUUGGUGGUUGGUGGUGCAUGGCCGUUCUUAGUUGGUGGAGUGAUUUGUCUGGUUUAUUCCGAUAACGAGCGAGACUCUAGCCUGCUAAAUAGUCGACGAAUCUUCGGGUUCGUAUAACUUCUUAGAGGGAUAAGCGGUGUUUAGCCGCACGAGAUUGAGCGAUAACAGGUCUGUGAUGCCCUUAGAUGUCCGGGGCUGCACGCGUGCUACACUGGUGGAGUCAGCGGGUUUUUCCUAUGCCGAAAGGUAUCGGUAAACCGUUGAACUUCUUCCAUGUCCGGGAUAGGGUAUUGUAAUUAUUACCCUUAAACGAGGAAUGCCUAGUAAGUGUGAGUCAUCAGCUCACGUUGAUUACGUCCCUGCCCUUUGUACACACCGCCCGUCGCUAUCCGGGACUGAACUGAUUCGAGAAGAGUGGGGACUGUGGCUGCGAGGUUUUACCACUUCGCAGUUGCGGAAACCAUUUUUAUCGCAUUGGUUUGAACCGGGUAAAAGUCGUAACAAGGUAGCUGUAGGUGAACCUGCAGCUGGAUCAUCG
rnacentral:ncRNA from 1 species